AAUAGAAUGAUUGACUGCAAAAGCUUCCUAGUCUCAUACAGCAUUUAUAGCGAAAACCAAAGAUUAUGAACCCAAGAAAAGCAAGCAAAAGAUAGAUAAGUACUCCCUCAUCUCUCAUUGUGCAAAUUUUAACUUAAGCAUGUGUAUUUCGAUUUUUAAAGGUUUCCUUUAUGAUAUUUUUAUUUGAUAAACGAAUUCGUUGGUUUACGCAUGUAAAUACUG